rnacentral:rRNA from 1 species
AACGCGAAGAACCUUACCGGGGCUUGACAUCGGAGGACAACUGUAGAAAUACAGCUUAGGGGCAACCCUACCUCCAGACAGGUGCUGCAUGGCUGUCGUCAGCUCGUGCCGUGAGGUGUUGGGUUAAGUCCCGCAACGAGCGCAACCCUUGUCGUGUGUUGGUCCACAAGAUCUCUCACACGAGACCGCCGGUGAGAAGCCGGAGGAAGGUGGGGAUGACGUCAAGUCCGCAUGGCCCUUACGUCCCGGGCUACACACGUGCUACAAUGCGCCGAACAACGAGCUGCUAACUCGCGAGGGUAAGCCAAUCUCUUAAAUCGGCGCUCAGUUCGGAUUGAAGGCUGCAACUCGCCUUCAUGAAGUCGGAAUCGCUAGUAAACGCAGAUCAGCUACGCUGCGUUGAAUACGUUCCCGGGCCUUGUACACACCGUAGUAC